rnacentral:rRNA from 1 species
UACGGAGGGUGCAAGCGUUAAUCGGAAUUACUGGGCGUAAAGAGCUCGUAGGUGGUUUGUCGCGUUGUCCGUGAAAACUCACAACUCAAUUGUGGGCGUGCGGGCGAUACGGGCAGACUGGAGUACUGCAGGGGAGACUGGAAUUCCUGGUGUAGCGGUGGAAUGCGCAGAUAUCAGGAGGAACCCCGGUGGCGAAGGCGGGUCUCUGGGCAGUAACUGACGCUGAGGAGCGAAAGCGUGGGGAGCGAACAGG